AAACUGCGUGAAGUAGUGUGAAUUGCAGGACACCUUGAUCAUCGACGUCUCGAACGCAACUUGCGCCCCUUGGCAUUCCGAGGGGCACGCCUGUUUGAGUGUCGUGAAUUCCUCCACUCUGCAAAUUUUUUGUUUGUAGGGCUGGGAUUUUGGGGGCUUGUGGGGUUCUCUUUAAAAGGGGUCCACUCCUCUUGAAUGCAUUAGUGAGGACCUGCAGCAGGCCUUGGUGUGAUAAUUAUCUACUCCUCGGCUUUUUCUGUGCGCUCGCUUCUAAUCGUCUUUGGACAAAUACACCUUGAACUUGACCUCAAAUCAGGCGGGAUUACCCGCUGAACUUAA
rnacentral:misc_RNA from 1 species